AACCCAAUUUUUGACUUCUGUCAUGUGUGCAUUUGCUACGUGCUUAAAAGUACAGGACAGUCUGUUCCGAAGGCCUCAGCUGAACUUUAGACUUUAGAAGACUUCUGUAUUAAUAUAGAAAUAGAAAAACAAAAAGAUGUAGAUUUCCAUCUAGUCUCACAGAACGUUUAUGUUUUGCGCUUAUGACGCUGUUUGUCUGAGUUUUGGCUUCACACGUCUGUAUUUUGAGUUAUUUUUGAUCCUUGUGGGUUUUUGAUAAGGGAGACAAUACAGCCUGAGGUCUAUACAAUACAAUAUCUCCUGAGGUCUUUGCAACCCUGCAUUUAGCUGAGCAACACCCAAAGGCAACAACUAUCUGUUGAUCUUCUAAAAUGUGGAAGUUAAACUGGACUGCAAGGCUCAUCUGGUAUCUUUAUAUGGACCAGAGGCAUAUGACCAAUGUCUUUCUAUCUAUUUGAGACAUGACUUCAUUUCUGGAUCACGAGACUCUUUGCUUGAAGAGACUACAUAAGGAGGUGCAAACCCCUCCUUGCUCUCGCUCAGACUGAGUUCAGCCUAGACCCUUCUAGCUGGACUUAGUCUUUUCUCACCUUCUUUAUCUUUGAUUCCGGGCUCACUUGAAUACUUUGAACUUCUCUCAGUUUUGGAGGCACCCGCUGGAGAUCGUUGAAGUUUUCAUUUUAUUAAGUUUUGAUGCAACGCAAGACAAAAUAAAGAGAGGUAUGAGUGCAUGCUGAUACGGAACCUAUCCUGCGUACAUUUACCACACGACUGGUUCUAAGGGUGACCCUUUGGUGUGACUUCUGCAACAGUGCAGCUCAUCGACGAUUCGGGAGAGGUUGCUGUGCUCGUAGCUGGACAUCAGUGUUUGAUCCCAAGAACUGGACGCAUCGUCAUCACAUCGCACGCUAACUCUACAUCAUCUGAGAGACUUGUGCUUUAAUCUACCAGCUGAUAUAUAGAUUUACAAAUCCCUACAUCAAGAUGCCUCACAAGAUUAUUGAUCAAAAAGAUUCUUUUACUCCUAUUGCUGUCAGCAAUGAUGAAGAAAUGUAUGAAUUAGAGGUGAAGGGUAAGGAAAGAUACGAGAUGUUGAAAAAGAUCAACGAAAGUUUGGAAAUUUGCGACAUGAUACCCCAAUCUGAUAAGGACAAAUAUCUUAAGAAGCUACCCAUCAAGAAGAGAAAGUAUGAUGAUAAGUUUAGAGAUGGAAAGAAGGGUAUGCUGUAGUAAGUCCUCGACCCAGCAAAAGUCCAGGUGAGGUCAGGGGUCGGAUGCUUUUAGUGCUCCUCGUCUGAUCAGCUUGGUGAAGAAUUCCUGUCAACUUUAACGCGGCUGGGGUUAAAGAGGUAUCUACAGUCUACCUCAAAAGAUUCAUUCACUUUUAUAUUUCCUUUAUGCUUACACGAUUAAGUGCCUAUCUGAAAUGUUUUACUUACUUAUUUUUCUGCAUAUGUAUUUGUUACCUUUGACUAUUAUGUAUCUUAUUUUCAAGGGAAAGGAUUUUGGGUGCGAGUCUUUUUGUCAAGACUCGAGUGGGGGACUGGUGUAACCCAAUUUUUGACUUCUGUCAUGUGUGCAUUUGCUACGUGCUUAAAAGUACAGGACAGUCUGUUCCGAAGGCCUCAGCUGAACUUUAGACUUUAGAAGACUUCUGUAUUAAUAUAGAAAUAGAAAAACAAAAAGAUGUAGAUUUCCAUCUAGUCUCACAGAACGUUUAUGUUUUGCGCUUAUGACGCUGUUUGUCUGAGUUUUGGCUUCACACGUCUGUAUUUUGAGUUAUUUUUGAUCCUUGUGGGUUUUUGAUAAGGGAGACAAUACAGCCUGAGGUCUAUACAAUACAAUAUCUCCUGAGGUCUUUGCAACCCUGCAUUUAGCUGAGCAACACCCAAAGGCAACAACUAUCUGUUGAUCUUCUAAAAUGUGGAAGUUAAACUGGACUGCAAGGCUCAUCUGGUAUCUUUAUAUGGACCAGAGGCAUAUGACCAAUGUCUUUCUAUCUAUUUGAGACAUGACUUCAUUUCUGGAUCACGAGACUCUUUGCUUGAAGAGACUACAUAAGGAGGUGCAAACCCCUCCUUGCUCUCGCUCAGACUGAGUUCAGCCUAGACCCUUCUAGCUGGACUUAGUCUUUUCUCACCUUCUUUAUCUUUGAUUCCGGGCUCACUUGAAUACUUUGAACUUCUCUCAGGUUUUAUUCAUCUCAGAUAUGAUUAUUAUUAUAUUAUUUGUUAUUAUAUGAAUACUAUUAUAACUUUUGACUUUUGAUAUACAGGGUAUUGUUGUAUACUUUGCAUUAUUAUUUUUAACAUCUUGAUUACUUUUUAAUAUUAUAAUGCAUUUUGUAUUACUUUUAAUUGGGCAGCAUCCAUCAUACAUGGAUUGCUUUUAAAACUAUAUUAAUUUUGGGAUUUGUAUUUUCUAUAUUUGAAGCUGAUUUUAAUACUUACUAAUCUGUUUGCAAGUUAUGAGUUGUAUUCUCAUUUCCUAUAUUCUUUGAAUAAAUUUGCAUACUAAAAUACCA